rnacentral:rRNA from 1 species
GAGGAAACUCUGAUGCAGCGACGCCGCGUGAGUGAAGAAGGUCUUCGGAUCGUAAAACUCUGUCCUUGGUGAAGAAAAAAUGACGGUAGCCAAGGAGGAAGCCCCGGCUAACUACGUGCCAGCAGCCGCGGUAAUACGUAGGGGGCGAGCGUUGUCCGGAUUUACUGGGCGUAAAGGGUGAGUAGGCGGUUAUAUAUGUCAGAUGUAAAAGGCUAUGGCUUAACCAUAGUUAGCAUUUGAAACUGUAUGACUUGAGUGCAGGAGAGGUAAGUGGAAUUCCUAGUGUAGCGGUGAAAUGCGUAGAUAUUAGGAGGAACACCAGUGGCGAAGGCGACUUACUGGACUGUAACUGACGCUGAGUCACGAAAGCGUGGGUAGCAAACAGGAUUAGAUACCCUGGUAGUCCACGCUGUAAACGAUGAGUGCUAGGUGUUGGCCAGCGAUGGUCAGUGCCGCAGUAAACACAUUAAGCACUCCGCCUGGGGAGU